ensembl:lncRNA
GCAGCACCAGCUGGGGUGUUGACCCCGGCACCAAAUAGGUCUGUAAACUUUGAACAUUUAGCAGCUUCCCCCUCCAGAGAGUCGCAGUUUUUCAGCGCCACCUGGGCGUUUCUUACGCUUAUCCAUUUUCAGCUCCGUCACGACUCCGGCCCAUGCCAUGAGGUCCCCCCACCCUAGUUUCUGUUGUGAUUGACGGCACUGUCAGGGCUCUCUGAGCCUGUCAGCCCAUGAUUGAUUGACAAUGACAAACAUAGACCAAUAAUAUGUGUCGAGGCUGGCCACACACUGCUAGCCCCAAUUUAGAGAGAGAGUAAAAGACAAAACAUAGCGGACCGGACCGGCCCACAUUGGGUCAACGGCCCGCCGGGACGAUGCCCUGUAUGCCAGAUGGCCAGUCCACCCCUGCUCGGGGGGCAGAGGAGGUAGAGGAGGACGGGGCUCCAGAGACUUCACUGUCAGGGGCAGGAGAUGAUGAGGAGCUUGAGGAGGCAGCAGCAGGGCCAUCGCACAAUACAGACCAGCCCAGCAGUGAGUCAGACCCAGAGGACGCUGAUGCUGCUCCUGCUCCUGCUCCUGCUCCUGCUCCUGCUCCUGCUCCUGCCCCUGUCCCUGUCCCUGCCGCUGGCCCUUCCUGUGUACCUGUCCCUGAGGCUGGCCCUGCCCCAAGACCACAGAGCGGGACGAAGAGGAAGAGAGCCAGGGUACCAGAGGGGAACACAAAUAUGCAGGGAGCCAUCCUCCAGGCCCUGCAGAGGCAAAAUGCUGUGCCUACCCCUACCCCGCUCUCUGGGAAUGAGCACUUUGUCAUGGGCCUAGUUCCUUCCCUGGAGAGAUUGCCACCUGAAGCACUGGAGUACGUUAAAUUCAAAAUUCGUAAGGUCAUAUUUGACAAUUUCACCCUUAAUUUGGAACCUUUUUAAGCCUAUUAGCUAGUGGUGGUGACAAUCUCUCCAGGGAAAGAACUAGGCUGAUGUCACUGUGCUACUGUUAACUGUUAAUUUGUUAUUGUUCUGUUAUGUUUAUAUCAUAUUGUUCUUAUGUUAUUUUUAUUAUUUUUAUUUUUAUUUUUUAAAUAAAAUAUUUCUCACAACUCUUCUC